CCUACGGGUGGCAGCAGUGAGGAAUAUUGGUCAAUGGACGGAAGUCUGAACCAGCCAUGCCGCGUGCAGGAAGACGGCUCUAUGAGUUGUAAACUGCUUUUGUACAAGGGUAAACCUGAAUACGUGUAUUCAGCUGAAAGUACUGUACGAAUAAGGAUCGGCUAACUCCGUGCCAGCAGCCGCGGUAAUACGGAGGAUCCAAGCGUUAUCCGGAUUUAUUGGGGUUAAAGGGUGCGUAGGCGGAUUGAUAAGUUAGAGGUGAAAUGUCCGAGCUUAACUCGGGAACUGCCUCUAAUACUGUUGGUCUAGAGAGUAGAUGCGGUAGGCGGAAUGUAUGGUGUAGCGGUGAAAUGCUUAGAGAUCAUACAGAACACCGAUUGCGAAGGCAGCUUACCAAUCUAUAUCUGACGUUGAGGCACGAAAGCGUGGGGAGCAAACAGGAUUAGAUACCCCUGUAGUC
rnacentral:rRNA from 1 species